rnacentral:lncRNA from 1 species
UGUGGGGAGCUGUGGGGCACUGUGAGAUGCUGUGGGGCACUGUGAGAUGCUAUGUGAUGCUGUGAGGUGCUGUGAGAUCCUAUGGGGUGCUGUGGGGUGCUGUGAGAUGCUGUGGGGUGCUGUGAUGCUGUGGGGCACUGUGAGGUGCUAUGUGAUGCUGUGAGGUGCUGUGAGAUCCUAUGGGGCGCUGUGGGGUGCUGUGAGAUGCUAUGGGGUGCUGUGAGAUGCUAUGGGGCGCAGUGGGGCGCUUCCGCGCGGCGCCCGGCACAAACCGGGUUUUGUCCGCCGGGGUUUCGGGGCGGCGGCGGUUCUGACACUGCGGUCCUGCUGAGCUCCUGCCCUUGUCUCGCAGCUGCAGUUCGUGGCCAAAUCCGGGGACAGCGGCGGCGGCACCUACAGCUGUCAGCAUCCUCUGUGGGGUGGGACGGUGGUCCCGUAUCUCUGCGCUCCCCUUUGACUCGGCGCCCGCUCAGACCUGCACCGCGCGCUGCGCUCGCUGGCCACGGCGACGCUGGAGUCCAUCGUGGAGGAGAGGUGUGAGCUGGGAGCCCCGCGCGUCCCCCCCGUCCCCCCCAUCCCCCUCCAUCUCCCUCUCUUCUACUUCCCCUUCUCUUCCCCUC